CCUUACGGCAGGCACGAGUGCAAAUGAACUGCGUGACACGAUCUACAGCAAAGAGAAUAAACAGCCUGACAGAAAGAAAGUGUCUUUUCCUGAACUGGACAACAGGGAACCUACAAUACACAGCGCAGCACGUCUGCAUUCCUUGGAGCGGCUUCAUUAAAGUGGAUAUUGUUUCCAUCAUUACCAGCAUGAGAGGCAUGAAACAGUGAACUUUACAAGAUCGCAUAUCAAAGAAUGCAGCUUCAGGAUUAGGAAACCCUGCCUCAACCCCCCUCCCAGUUGAAACAGAAGGAGGGAAACCAGCUGAUCUCUACAAUUUUACGGAUCCAGACUGGGCUCCAACAUAAAAUAUGUGCCACAACAAAAUCAAAGAUGGUACUAAAGCGGUAGCUCGAAAUGCUAGGCUUACAGAGUGCAGAAAGAAAUGCAAAAUUAUUGAAGAAUCUUCCCAAACAAUCACAGAGUCAAUCGAACAAGAUUCAUGUCAAUCCACUACCUCAAAUACUACAGCCUCCU